GAGGCUGUAGCUCAGUGGCAGAGCGCUUGCCUAGCAUGCAUGAGGUCUUGGGUUCAAUUCUCAACACCACA
rnacentral:tRNA from 1 species